CUCCCCUGGCAAUGAGCAAAGAGACUCCUUGGUGGUGGUGGUCUUCUUAUAUGUAAGUCAGUGGCAGAACAGAUGGCAGUCCUUUGUUCAUCCUAGCUUGAUAUCUGGCUUGGUGAACAAAGCUGAAUUAUGCCUAGGACUCAUAA